GAAAGAUUUAUUGGUAUAGGAGGAGUCUGCGGCACAUUAGCUAGUAGGUGAGGUAAAGGCUUACCUAGGCGACGAUGUGUAGCCGGUCUGAGAGGAUGAACGGCCACAAUGGAACUGAGACACGGUCCAUACUCCUACGGGAGGCAGCAGUGGGGAAUAUUGCACAAUGGGGGAAACCCUGAUGCAGCAACGCCGCGUGAGUGAAGAAGGUUUUCGGAUUGUAAAGCUCUGUUAGCAGGGAAGAGGAAGGACGGUACCUGCAGAGGAAGCCACGGCUAACUACGUGCCAGCAGCCGCGGUAAUACGUAGGUGGCAAGCGUUGUUCGGAAUAACUGGGCGUAAAGGAUGCGUAGGCGGUUAAACAAGUUAUAUGUUAAAUAUAUAGGCUUAACCUGUAGAAAGCAUAUAAAACUGUUUAACUAGAGUGCAGGAGAGGUAAGUGGAAUUCCUAGUGUAGCGGUGAAAUGCGUAGAGAUUAGGAAGAACACCAGUGGCGAAGGCGACUUACUGGACUGUAACUGACGCUGAGGCAUGAGAGCAUGGGGAGCAAACAGGAUUAGAUACCCUGGUAGUCCAUGCUGUAAACGAUGGGUACUAGGUGUGGGUUGUGAAUAACAAUUC
rnacentral:rRNA from 1 species